UUUAAGUAUAACUCUUGACUUGUGUGAUAAGUUUGUCUCUCCACCUUUGAUAGUAAAGAAAUGAACCACCACACGCUAGAUCUUACAACGCCAGGAUAGGUAUUUUACACAUCAGCUAAUCCUAUCAUGUGUUUUUGCAAUCUGUCAGUCAACCAUUGGUUGAUACAUGCAACGUCUAAGCAGUGUGACCUUAGUCAGUACUGACAAAAACCUGCAGGUGUGUCCCUCACAGCAACAACCUGCUAUAAGAUGGGUGUUGACCCAAGAUCAGCCUCCUUGAACAAGGUAAGUAUACUGCACUAUCUCUGCACUAAUCAAUGUACAGUAUACUGCACUAUCUCUGCACUAAACAAGGUACAGUAUACUGCACUAUCUCUGCACUAAACAAGGUACAGUAUACUGCACUAUCUCUGCACUAAACAAGGUACAGUAUACUGCACUAUCUCUGCACUAAACAAGGUACAGUAUACUGCACUAUCUCUGCACUAAACAAGGUACAGUAUACUGCACUAUCUCUGCACUAAACAAGAUACAGUAUACUGCACUAUCUCUGCACUAAUCAAGGUACAGUAUACUGCACUAUCUCUGCACUAAACAAGAUACAGUAUACUACACUAUCUCUGCACUAAACAAGAUAAAUGUUUCAGUUGAAAGUCUAACUAUGUUUCCUCUUUCACUGUUAAACAAUAUUAAGACGUGUAUAAAUAUAAACAUACUGUAAUAGCAGAAUGUGAUUGUUAACAGCUACAUGAUUAUAUUGUUUUGGCAUUUUGAUGUUAAGUGAUGCAAUCAUGUGACUAUUUAUGCAUAAAU